rnacentral:rRNA from 1 species
CCUACGGGAGGCAGCAGUGAGGAAUAUUGGUCAAUGGUCGGGAGACUGAACCAGCCAAGCCGCGUGAGGGAUGAAGGUACAGAGUAUCGUAAACCUCUUUUGUCAGGGAACAAAGGCGGGGACGUGUCCCCGGAUGAGUGUACCUGAAGAAAAAGCAUCGGCUAACUCCGUGCCAGCAGCCGCGGUAAUACGGAGGAUGCGAGCGUUAUCCGGAUUUAUUGGGGUAAAAGGGUGCGCAGGCGGUCUGUUAAGUCAGCGGUCAAAGCCCGGGGCUCAACCCCGGCCCGCCGUUGAAACUGGCAGUCUCGAGUUGGAGAGAAGUAUGCGGAAUGCGCGGUGUAGCGGUGAAAUGCAUAGAUAUCGCGCAGAACUCCGAUUGCGAAGGCGGGUUCCUGGACAUUAACUGACGCUGAGGCACGAAGGCCAGGGGAGCGAAAGGGAUUAGAUACCCCAGUAGUC